CGGAGGAUCCGAGCGUUAUCCGGAAUACUGGGCGUAAAGAGUUGCGUAGGUGGUUUAUUAAGCGAAUAGCGAAAUCUCAGGGCUCAACCUUGAGGCUAUUAUUCGAACUGAUAAACUUGAGAAUAUGAGAGGUAAGUGGAAUUCCCAGUGUAGGAGUGAAAUCCGUAGAUAUUGGGAGGAACACCAAUGGCGUAGGCAGCUUACUGGCAUAUUUCUGACACUGAGGCACGAAAGCGUGGGGAGCGAACCGGAUUAGAUACCCGGGUAGUCCACGCCGUAAACUAUGGAUGCUAGCUGUUGGACGUAUCGACCCGUUCAGUAGCGAAGCUAACGCGUUAAGCAUCCCGCCUGGGGAGUACGGUCGCAAGAUUA
rnacentral:rRNA from 1 species